CAGCCGCCGCGGUAAUACGGAGGAUCCAAGCGUUAUCCGGAAUCAUUGGGUUUAAAGGGUCCGUAGGCGGUCUUGUAAGUCAGUGGUGAAAGCCCAUCGCUCAACGGUGGAACGGCCAUUGAUACUGCAGGACUUGAAUUAUUGGGAAGUAACUAGAAUAUGUAGUGUAGCGGUGAAAUGCUUAGAGAUUACAUGGAAUACCAAUUGCGAAGGCAGGUUACUACCAAUUGAUUGACGCUGAUGGACGAAAGCGUGGGUAGCGAACAGGAUUAGAUACCCCAGUAGUCCCUGUCUCUUAUAA
rnacentral:rRNA from 1 species